rnacentral:rRNA from 1 species
GAUGAACGCUGGCGGCGUGCCUAAUACAUGCAAGUCGAGCGAACGGACGAGAAGCUUGCUUCUCUGAUGUUAGCGGCGGACGGGUGAGUAACACGUGGAUAACCUACCUAUAAGACUGGGAUAACUUCGGGAAACCGGAGCUAAUACCGGAUAAUAUUUUGAACCGCAUGGUUCAAAAGUGAAAGACGGUCUUGCUGUCACUUAUAGAUGGAUCCGCGCUGCAUUAGCUAGUUGGUAAGGUAACGGCUUACCAAGGCAACGAUGCAUAGCCGACCUGAGAGGGUGAUCGGCCACACUGGAACUGAGACACGGUCCAGACUCCUACGGGAGGCAGCAGUAGGGAAUCUUCCGAAUGGGCGAAAGCCUGACGGAGCAACGCCGCGUGAGUGAUGAAGGUCUUCGGAUCGUAAAACUCUGUUAUUAGGGAAGAACAUAUGUGUAAGUAACUGUGCACAUCUUGACGGUACCUAAUCAGAAAGCCACGGCUAACUACGUG